rnacentral:rRNA from 1 species
UACUAAGUUUCAACAACGGAUCUCUUGNNUCUCGCAUCGAUGAAGAACGCAGCGAAAUGCGAUAAGUAAUGUGAAUUGCAGAAUUCAGUGAAUCAUCGAAUCUUU